rnacentral:rRNA from 1 species
GGAUUCCCCUAGUAACGGCGAGCGAACCGGGAAGAGCCCAGCUUGAAAAUCGGAGGGCUUCGCCCCUCGAAUUGUAGUCUGGAGAAGCGUCCUCUGCAUCGGACCGGGCCCAAGUUCCCUGGAACGGGACGAGAGAAAGGGUGAGAUCCCCGUCGAGCCCGGACCCUGAUGCUCCACGAGGCGCUGUCGGCGAGUCGGGCUGUUUGGGAAUGCAGCCCUAAGCGGGUGGUAAAUUCCAUCCAAGGCUAAAUACCGGCGAGAGACCGAUAGCGAACAAGUACCGCGAGGGAAAGAUGAAAAGGACUUUGAAAAGAGAGUUAAAGAGUGCUUGAAAUUGCUGGGAGGGAAGCGAAUGGAAGCUGCGGGUGCGCCCCGGUUGGAUGCGGAACGGCUCUAGCUGGUCCGCCGCUCAACGCGGGGCGCUGGUCAGCGUGGGCCGUCGCGGCGGGACAAGAGCCGGCUUUCGUUGCCGGCCGAUGCCGUUGUGGCGGCCGAGGAACGAAGCGCGCGCCCUUCUGGGCGGGCCCCUCGGGGCACCUGCGCGCUCGGGACGCUGGCGCAUCGAGCUCUCCAUCCGACCCGUCUUGAAACACGGACCAAGGAGUCUAACAUGUAUGCGAGCCGGUGGGCGGCAAACCCAUUGAGGCGCAAGGAACCUGACAGGUGGGAUCCCCUUUCCGGGGGAGCACCAUCGACCGACCGUGAUCUUCUGUGAAAGGUUUGAGUGCGAGCAUGCCCGUUGGGACCCGAAAGAUGGUGAACUAUGCCUGAGCAGGGCGAAGCCAGAGGAAACUCUGGUGGAGGCUCGUAGCGAUACUGACGUGCAAAUCGUUCGUCAGACUUGGGUAUAGGGGCGAAAGACUAAUCGAACCAUCUAGUAGCUGGUUCCCUCCGAAGUUUCCCUCAGGAUAGCUGGAGCUCGUGCACUAGUUUUAUCAGGUAAAGCGAAUGAUUAGAGGCAUCGGGGGUGUAACACCCUCGACCUAUUCUCAAACUUUAAAUAGGUAAGAUGCCCGGGUUGCUCAGUUGAACCCCGGCGCGGAAU